rnacentral:rRNA from 1 species
UACGGAGGGGGCUAGCGUUGUUCGGAAUUACUGGGCGUAAAGCGCACGUAGGCGGCUGACCAAGUCAGGGGUGAAAGCCCAGGGCUCAACCCUGGAACUGCCCUUGAGACUGGUUGGCUUGAUCACGGGAGAGGUGAGUGGAAUUCCGAGUGUAGAGGUGAAAUUCGUAGAUAUUCGGAAGAACACCAGUGGCGAAGGCGGCUCACUGGACCGUUGAUGACGCUGAGGUGCGAAAGCGUGGGGAGCAAACAGG